AUUUAAUUAGUUUAAGUAAAAAUAAUAUUUUGUGGAAAUAUAGAUGAUUAUUCAUUAAAUA
rnacentral:tRNA from 1 species